GUUGGGAAGCUGUUCCAAAGAGGGUGACAGGCCCGUAUGCGAAAUCUUGUACUCUCUAAUCAGGAUCCUGAGUACGGCCCAGCACGUGAAAUUGGGUCGGAAUCUGGGAGGACCAUCUCCCAAGGCUAAAUACUAACUAGUGACCGAUAGCGAACAAGUACCGUGAGGGAAAGGUGAAAAGAACCCCGGAAGGGGAGUGAAAUAGUUCUUGAAACCGUGUGCUUACAAGAAGUUCGAGGCCGUUAAUGGCUGAGAGCGUGCUUUUUGUAGAAUGAACCGGAGAGUUACGAUUGCGUGCAAGGUUAAGGUGCAAAGACUGGAGCCGUAGCGAAAGCGAGUCUUAAUAGGGCGAAUCAGUACGUAGUUGUAGACCCGAAACCGAGUGACCUAUCCAUGGUC
rnacentral:rRNA from 1 species